CAAGUUCUGGGUUGAGUCCUAGGGAUGGGCUUCAAUGCAGUGAAUUACGGAAGAUACCUGGAAUGUUAUUGCCUGAGGAUUAACUGCAUAGUUAAAUCAGUUACAGAUCUGUCCCUGAAGCAAGAGAAUAGACCAAUCAAUGUUUCAGGUUCUUUUCUUUUCAAUACUAGCAUUGAUUGCUCAUGUUAUAAAUGGUGACUCUUAAAAAUGAAGGAGUUGACAAAUUAGAUAGUAUGGCUUGGCAUUUGCAGUUUUGUAUAUGUCCUCUCCCUCCUCACCCCUUCAUCCAAGCGUAAUCCAAGUCUCAAUAGUAUCUGAAAAAGACCUUGACUCUGCAGGUUCCUGGGAUGGGUGGAGUGAGCAUGAAUGAUGUACACAUGUAAGGUAUGCCCAUCACAUGUGUGGACAUGUCAGAGGAACACCCAUGUCAUGAUUGGUGAAUCUAGAUGGGAAUUCUUUCCCUCAGCACUGCUUUAAUCAUGCAUUACUUCUUUUUAAUAAGAGGAGUCUCUAGUUUUACCAGUUAUAUUUUCCUUACAACACAUUCGAUAAAUAAUGGUUUUCAUUUUAAAUGUUUUUGUUCUCACAGUGUGAAUCGGAAAGUCCCAGGAUGAUCAGGAAUUUUUCUUGAGUAUAAAUCUGAAACAGAAACUCUCCAGAUCUCAAAGACCUUUCAGAUAGAAAUCAGAAGGCUCCAGUCUGGAAUAGCACCUUAAAAAUGAGCUUCCCUGGCUGGCUGGAGUCUUCAAGACAAAUCCAGAGUCAAGGAGCAGUGCUGAUCUCCUGGACCCCCUACUGCACCCCCGAACUUCCAGAGGCUUGUGGUUGUUGUGUCAAAGUGGGAAGAAUGACUUCUCUGCAAGUGCUUGCUGCUUAUCGUCAACCAGGAGGUCCUGAAGUAGCACUCAAGUCUCAUAAAGUCCGUUAUGAAAACUGGUUGGGGGACUUCCCUGGCGGUCCAGUGGUUAAAACUUUGCCUGCUAAUGCAGGGGGUGUGGAUUUGAUUCCUGGUCGGACAGCUAAGAUCCCACAUGCCUGGUCGCCAAAACAAGGACACACAAAGCAGAAGCAAUAUUGUAACAAAUUCAAUAAAGACUUAAAAAAAAAAAAAAAAACACAGGUUGAGCCAUAAGUUCGAACAUGGACACACAUACACACCCCACACACAUGCUUAUACAUACGCACACUGCUCUUUAGAUACAGAACACAGCCAUUUUUAUAAAGUAAAUAUAUAGUCUCUCCACCUACAGCAGCACGGAC
rnacentral:lncRNA from 1 species